AACGAACGCUGGCGGCAUGCCUAACACAUGCAAGUCGAACGAGAUCUUCGGGUCUAGUGGCGCACGGGUGCGUAACGCGUGGGAAUCUGCCCUUUGGUUUGGAAUAACAGUUGGAAACGACUGCUAAUACCGGAUGAUGACGAAAGUCCAAAGAUUUAUCGCCGGAGGAUGAGCCCGCGUAGGAUUAGCUAGUUGGUGUGGUAAAGUCGCACCAAGGCGACGAUCCUUAGCUGGUCUGAGAGGAUGAUCAGCCACACUGGGACUGAGACACGGCCCAGACUCCUACGGGAGGCAGCAGUGGGGAAUAUUGGACAAUGGGCGAAAGCCUGAUCCAGCAAUGCCGCGUGAGUGAUGAAGGCCUUAGGGUUGUAAAGCUCUUUUACCCGGGAUGAUAAUGACAGUACCGGGAGAAUAAGCUCCGGCUAACUCCGUGCCAGCCGCCGCAGUAA
rnacentral:rRNA from 1 species